AAUUUAGCAGUCUUGAAGAACUCAAACUUCAAGGGAGUUCAUACGAAGAUAUACUUUCAUGUAAAGAGGAUGAGGAACACAUUGGAACACUCACAAAAUUAAAAGUUCUAGAAUUGUUGGGACUUUUUAAUUUAAAGUGCAUUUGGAAACAAGACUUUCGAUUAAAUUCAAUUCUUUAAAAUCUUUAUCGUCUAGAGGUGCAAUAUUGUCACAAUUUGACUACUCUGUUGCCAUCUUCAGCAUCUUUUGAAAAUUUACGUACUUUGAAAGUAAAGCAUUGUAAUGGAUUGAGAAAUUUAGUGUCAUCCUCAACAGCAAGGAGUCUAGUGCGACUAGUAAAUUUGGAAGUAAGAGAAUGUGGAAUGAUGAUAGAAGUAUUAGCACAUGAGGGAGAUACAAAGGAAGGUACCAUUGUUUUUGAGAAAUUGGAGGACUUACACAUGUUUAAAUUAGAAAGUCUCACAUGCUUCUGCUCUGGGAGUUACACCUUAAAAUUCCCAAACUUGGAAAGACUAAAUAUAUAUCAAUGCUCCAAGAUGAAGGCUUUCUCUGAAGGAGACUUAAGCAUGCCAAGGUUACAAGAGCUGAACCAUAAAGAUUGUUCGAAGAGUGACCUUAAUGCAAUCACACAACAAUUACAAAAGGAUUUUUGUAAAAAAUAUAAAGGAGAAGAAGAGUGAGUUGGAUAGCAAACUAUUAAUGUUCAUCAACACACAGCAAAGUCAUGUGGGACUUGAACAAAAUGCAGCCAUGGUGAAAGUAGUGGGAGAUAGAGUUACGCGUCUCCUCCCUUGGUGGCUAAUGUCGAUAUGACUCCUGUCAAGUCCGCUCUAGUAUCCGGCUGCCUGGCUUUAGUUUGCAGUGAAUUUCAAAUGAGCCUUAUCGACCACGUGUGCCCUCUCCCUUUCAUUCUCCGAACCCUUUAAAAAUCGUCUGACGGUCCCGCCUGCUCAAACCGCCGAUAGUCCAGGUCAUUUUCGGCGUCUCAAAUACUUAUCAUUAAAACUAAUAGAACAUGUGUGUUUAUAUUUGUUAAUUUUUUAAUUUCAAAGAUGAGAUUGCCAAGUUGUUCCCGAAUCUGUUCGCAAGGAUCGGCGAAAUUGGUGCCAAAUGAUGUCGAUAGGCUUCAGGAAGAUCAGAAGUUGAAAAUCGGCAUUGCGUUUGACUGGGCUUUAGGCGACAGGUGGAUACAAUGUGAUCUCAGGAAUUUUGGGUGAGGAUCUAUAUGAUCUGUAAGUUUAAAACGUGGUUUGCUUGAAAUGUUGUUUGAAAAUGUGAUUUUUGUGUUUCAUUGAUCAUGAAGUGCAAAUACAUCGAAUGGCUCCUGAAUACAUCGAAUUGAUCAUGAAGUACAAAAACCAAUUGUUUCUUUUGAGUGAAAUUUAUAGUUUUCAAAGUAUUCAAAUGUGGUCAAUAGGCAUUAAUUAAUGCUUGUUAGAUAAAUUAUAUUUGAUGAGAUUAAUAUGUCCUUAAAAGUGUAUUAUCCAAUAGUUUAAAUUGUAUCUCAAUUUGUGCAGGUAUAAUUUGAUAGUGUAUUGAUAUGGAAAACUGUUUAUAUACGCUGUUAAUAGUGUUGUUUUUGUUGGAUUUUUAGUGAGUUAUGACUUUUGAGCCAAGCAGAGGAGAGGUGUUCAGGCAGGGACUCAAUGUAUGUUCAAAGCCUGUCUUUCUCAUAGAAAUGCAGCCAACUUACUUUGGGAAAGAUAAGAGAACUGGUUUAUGACAUUGCCAAUAUGGUCACAAAAUGCCACAGAGAUUCUUAGCUCAUUUAGCCACAGGGAGCUUCUUGAAAUCUGGGCUUGCUAAAUUUCCAAUGAUAGAGCAUCUACAAAAGUUGCUGUCGAGAGCAAUCACUGAAAAAUAUUGCAGACCACAUUGUAGAUGGAAUCUGUAACCAACUGGACUUGGUCACAUUACAGAACCAUAUUCAUUCUAGAAGAUGAUGAUCCAAUAAAUGAAGAUGAUUCAGGAGUGCAGUUGAUGAAGGCAAUGACUCAUGAAUGAUGAUUAAAGAAAAAUUUUAGUUGACUUGAACCUUGUUUCAUAGGUCCUCCCGAAGCUUUUAGGUUCAAAGUCAAAUCAGGCAAAGAUAGGAAUCAUUAAUGACAUUAGUGGCAUUGCUAACGUUGGAAGGUGACAGGGGAAGUUUUGAUUGAAUGGAUAAGAAGGUACUUUACUAUAGACAAGUGUACUGAGAAGUUAAUUGGACUCAAAGCUGAGUUGCAACUCUGCAGUUUACUAAGCUUUUUCUUCAUGAGCUGAGCUUCCUGGAAAUGCUCCACAUGGCAUCGGAUUCAGGAACCACGGAAGCUUUUUAUAUUCUCAAGUAAUUAAGCUAUGAGAUAACUCUGCAAAUCAGAAUUUCUUAUAUAUGCCGAA